AUAUCAUGUUGAGGGCAAACUUCUAAGCAAUCCCUUGUAUCUCUCCCAAGCUUAGUACAAUAACUCACCAACCUCUUAUUGAAAGUAGGUUAUCUUCUUCUUAAGCUU